rnacentral:rRNA from 1 species
AAAGGGUAGCAAUACCUGAGUAAAGUGGCGCACGGGUGAGUAACACGUUGACUAACCUACCCUGGAGUGGGGGAUAACUGAGGGAAACCUUAGCUAAUACCGCAUAAUACCCACGGGUCAAAGGAGCAAUUCGCUUCAGGAGGGGGUCGCGGCCGAUUAGUUAGUUGGCGGGGUAAUGGCCCACCAAGACGAUGAUCGGUAUCCGGCCUGAGAGGGCGCACGGACACACUGGAACUGAAACACGGUCCAGACUCCUACGGGAGGCAGCAGUGGGGAAUUUUGCGCAAUGGGGGAAACCCUGACGCAGCAACGCCGCGUGGAGGAUGAAGUACUUCGGUACGUAAACUCCUUUCGAUCGGGACGAUAAUGACGGUACCGAGAGAAGAAGCCCCGGCUAACUUCGUGCCAGCAGCCGCGGUAAUACGAGGGGGGCGAGCGUUGUUCGGAAUUAUUGGGCGUAAAGGGUGCGUAGGCGGUUUGGUAAGUCUGAUGUGAAAUCUAUGGGCUCAACUCAUAGUCUGCAUCGGAAACUGCCGGGCUUGAGUGUGGGAGAGGUGAGUGGAAUUUCCGGUGUAGCGGUGAAAUGCGUAGAUAUCGGAAGGAACACCUGUGGCGAAAGCGGCUCACUGGACCACAACUGACGCUGAUGCACGAAAGCUAGGGGAGCAAACAGGAUUAGAUACCCUGGUAGUCCUAGCCCUAAACGAUGACUGCUUGGUGUGACGGGUACCCAAUCCCGCCGUGCCGUAGCUAACGCGUUAAGCAGUCCGCCUGGGGAGUACGGU